rnacentral:rRNA from 1 species
CCUACGGGUGGCUGCAGUGGGGAAUAUUGCGCAAUGGGGGGAACCCUGACGCAGCAACGCCGCGUGAAGGAAGAAGGUCUUCGGAUUGUAAACUUCUUUGAUGAGGGACGAAGUAAGUGACGGUACCUCAAAAACAAGCCACGGCUAGCUACGUGCCAGCAGCCGCGGUAAUACGUAGGUGGCGAGCGUUGUCCGGAAUUACUGGGUGUAAAGGGCGUGUAGGCGGGGAUGCAAGUCAGAUGUGAAAUACCGAGGCUUAACCUCGGGGCUGCAUCUGAAACUGUGUUUCUUGAGUGUCGGAGAGGAAAGCGGAAUUCCUGGUGUAGCGGUGAAAUGCGUAGAGAUCAGGAGGAACACCGGUGGCGAAGGCGGCUUACUAGAUCGAUACUGACGCUCAGUCACGAAAGCGUGGGUAGCAAAUAGGAUUAGAUACCCCAGUAGUCAC